rnacentral:lncRNA from 1 species
AUAAAAUAAAAAAUUAAAUAAAAGCAAACACAAACAGAACCCAGUACCCUUCGCCAUCUCUUCUUUAUCUGCAAACGCCUUCUCUCACUACGAACCAAGAAAUCCUUCACUGGGAAACCCCUCGAAUCCUUCUCUUCACUGAAAACCCAGAAAUCCUUCGUCACUGGCAACCCUAACUUCAUAUGUAUGUAAUUUUUAAACCCUAACUUUUAAUUUUUUUGUUGUUGUGAUAAUUCAAUUUCUGUAUCUGUUGCUAUUUAUGUCAUUAUUAUUAUUUUCCUAUUCCAAUUGUUCUGUAUUGAUGAUAAUAGGAAUUCUAAAAACUUAUAAUUAUAAUUCCUUCUGUAUUUAUGUUAUGAAUUAUUAUUUUCCUAUUCCAAUUCUAAAAAAAAUAUAAUUCAAUUCAUAUUAGAUUUUUAUAGUUGUUGAGUUGUGAAAUAGGUAUUAGUAGUAACCAACUAAAUAUGAAUAAAUUUAAAGUGAUUCUAGGUGAAUUGGAUGGAAUUGAAUUUCUGCCAGGAUAGAGACUUANNNNN